AUUGAACGCUGGCGGCAUGCCUUACACAUGCAAGUCGAACGGUAACAGGUCUUCGGAUGCUGACGAGUGGCGAACGGGUGAGUAAUACAUCGGAACGUGCCUAGUAGUGGGGGAUAACUACUCGAAAGGGCGGCUAAUACCGCAUGAGAUCUACGGAUGAAAGCAGGGGACCGCAAGACCUUGUGCUACUAGAGCGGCCGAUGGCAGAUUAGGUUGUUGGUGGGAUAAAAGCUUACCAAGACGACGGUCUGUAGCUGGUCUGAUACGACGAUCAGCCACACUGGGAAUGAGACACGGCCCAGACUCCUACGGGAGGCAGCAGUGGGGAAUUUUGGGCAAUGGGCGCAAGCCUGAUCCAGCAAUGCCACGUGCAGGAGGAAGGCCUUCGGGUUGUAAACUGCUUUUGUACGGAACGAAAAGCCCUGGGUUAAUACCCUGGGGUCAUGACGGUACCGUAAGAAUAAGCACCGGCUAACUACGUGCCAGCAGCCGCCGUAACAC
rnacentral:rRNA from 1 species